AGGACCUGUGUGUGUCUGUAUCUAUCUUGUAUCUGUCUAUAUUUAUAGACAGUAUAAAUUUUAAUACAUUUCUAUCCAUAUAUUUAGACACAGAUAUUUACACACUGUAAAUAUUAAUGCACACAUAUCUACACAAUGAUGUUAACUUUGUGUCCAGACCUACCCCUUCCAUUCUGUAACCUUUUUGGGAGGUUUGUUCCUUAGGAUUUCCAGGGUCUCACUUUCAGUGGAGCAGAUCUUUCCCACCUGGAUCUUUGCUGCAUCAACGUCAAGGUGGCCAAUCUGAGCCGCUGCAACCUGGCCCGUGCCAACCUGUGCUGUGCCAGCCUGGAGAGGGCUGACCUGUCAGGCUCUGUGCUGGAUGGAAGAGCUGCUGCAGCCUGGGAGGGCUGGGCUUGUGUUGACAGAGAGGAGCUGGAACAAACAGAGCGGUGUAAAACAUGGAGUUCUUAAAUAUAUUCUAGAGUUGUUCUGGUUCCCAAAGCUUUUACACUUCCUCCCAGUAAUGAUUUAAUGGGAUUGACUCCCAAAGCAGAAAUUAAAAGUGUCUUCUUGAUUGUCUUUGGUGUUGUUCUUCCAGCCCUCACCCACUCCUGUCUGUGCCAGUGUGCCAACCUGCCAGGGGUGAAGAUGCUGCGCUCCAACGCAGAGGGAGCGUCCCUGAAAGGCUGCAACUCUGAGGACCCAUCAGGCCUUAAAGCUAAUCUGGAAGGUGCCAGCCUGAAAGGAGUGGCCAUGGAGGGCAGACAGAUGACAGGAAUUAACCUCCGAGUUGCAACGCUGAGAAACACCAAACUAAAGAACUGUAACCUCAGGGGAGCAACGUUGGCAGGAACUGAUUUGGAAGUGAGUUGGGAUUCAUUUUCCAUCCUAUUCCUUUCUCUCCUAUGGUCAGCUGGUAACUGGGGGGAUUGCUGGCUUUUGGCUGACCUCUCCAGCUUCAGAGUACAAUGGAGUUCAGGUUGUGACCUCCAGGAAGCCAAUUUGAGGGGCUCUGAUGUGAAAGGAGCCAUCUCUGAAGAGAUGCUGACCCCCCUGCACAUGUCCCAGAGCGUCAGAUAGGGAAGAGAAGACGUCGGAGAGGAAGGAAUCCAAAUAUUUGUUGUGACUUUCUUCACCUCCUCCCCUUCC